GACGAACGCUGGCGGCGUGCUUAACACAUGCAAGUCGAACGGAAAGGCCCUGCUUUUGUGGGGUGCUCGAGUGGCGAACGGGUGAGUAACACGUGAGUAACCUGCCCUUGACUUUGGGAUAACUUCAUGAAACUGGGGCUAAUACCGGAUAGGAGCUCCUGCUGCAUGGUGGGGGUGGGAAAGUUUCGGCGGUUGGGGAUGGACUCGCGGCUUAUCAGCUUGUUGGUGGGGUAGUGGCUUACCAAGGCUUUGACGGGUAGCCGGCCUGAGAGGGUGACCGGCCACAUUGGGACUGGGAUGCGGCACAGACUACUCCGGGAGGCAGCAGUGGGGAAUAUUGCACAAUGGGCGGAAGCCUGAUGCAGCCACGCCGCGUGCGGGAUGACGGCCUUCGGGUUGUAAACCGCUUUCGCCUGUGACGAAGCGUGAGUGACGGUAAUGGGUAAAGAAGCACCGGCUAACUACGUG
rnacentral:rRNA from 1 species